GCUUCUGGUAUUUUUUCCGUGUUAGUUCACGGCAGCUUCUGGAGCUCGGAGACUGGAUCGAAAAGGAAUUUGCAGAAGCGUGCUCGGUUUAUAUACCCAGUCUACUAAGCAUGCGCGAACGAGAUUGAAUGACUUGUUAGGAGGAGGAGCCAAAUAUACAGGUCAUUGCAAAAAUACUGUGACGUAUAGUGUAAAAAUAAAGAGUUUAAACUCAAGCGCUUAAACUGAAUAUUAUACCAAGACACAGUCCUUGUUCGACAAAAUGAAGGUUUUGAUUAAGUAUAUGUCAAGUCAGCAGAACAGUGGUAGUUACACCGGUCCUGAAAUGAAGGGGAAUAUGGAUAACCGGAGCAACCAGUGUAAUCCAAAUAACCAGACUUACCAGGGACAUACUUCUGGAUAUGGCGGUACAGGGACGAGAGCUGAUCUUGGCAACCAUUCCAAUCAGCUCAAUCCAAACAACUCAAGAUAUCAGGCUCCGAAAAAGUGAUGUUUUAACAUUAUGUGAAGAUAAAGACUGUUGAAUGUCCAUAAAAAUAUAAAUAAAGAAAAUUAAUUUUGAGAAAAUUAUGUUACUGUUUUAUAUUAAAGAGUACUUUCAACAUAUAUUGAGGGCAUUUAAUGUAAAAAGUUUUCCUAAAAUGGCGAAAACACAGUGCAAACAUUGCAGCACUCUGAAGACAAAUUACAUGUACCUCCUUUCCACAAUAGUUUCAAUUCUUCUGCAAGUAAGACACCACUCCAGAGCAACACCUUUCACCGACAACUUAUAUUUCGUCUUUCAUAAGGCGUUGUUCUGCAAAGGUUAUACUGCAUGGAGAAAAGUAUAUAGUCAUACUCCAACUGAAAAUGUUUAUAUUUUAAGUUCACUUUUAUUUAGCUUGUUGAUGAACGGUAGUGACCUUUUUAUGCUUCCCCAUUCUUCCGCAUCGGCUUUAAGGAAACAGAAUAUGGUAUAUUUCAAAAUUUAGAAAAAUUCACAGAUGUGUUUAUACGGCGUUGAUCAAAGACCCUUCCAUAUGCCGCAUAUGCCGUUGUCAUUAAACGGCACGCCCGACCAAACGGUACAACUUCAAACAUGUGCACGAACCAAGAUAAAAAUUUGACCAUUUGAGCGUUUGAGAAACAAAUCAAAGGAAACGCUUAAAUCAAUUCGUUCUUCUUCGUUAAGAGAUUUUUAAAAGAUAUCUGCUUUACUUAUAAGUAAAGAAUAUAAGUACAUAGUAAAUGGUUUAUAGAAUAGUACAAAAACAUCGAUACAUAUCACAUUAACCAAAACAUCGUCAUAUACACAUGAAUUAUUUCAUUAUCGUUUACAUGCAUAAAAUAAUGUGAAGACUUUAAUACAUAUCUAAAACGUUAGUCUUGUAUCGGAUUUUGAUAGCAUCUUUAAUUCUAUUUAUCAAUAUAUUUCAUAAGCCAUGCACAGACAUACAUUUUUAAGUAAGUCCUUCAGGAAACAACACAAUGCAUGUAACUUAAGUCAAACAUAGAAGUACAACAUCACAAUGUAAUAAUUGAUAAAUUAUUAUGCCAAAUUAUAGCAUUAAACAACAAAUAUCACAUAAAAUAAUUUACAUUGAUAUAACAAUAACAACAUAAUCAUAUUGUCUUACGUCUUAACCUAGUAUAACAUGCUAUAACAAACUAUAGCCCAAAUUUAUUUAAAUGACCUUUUUCUUUAUUUGAAGCUGAUAUUUUAAUCUUAAUCGUGUUAGUUAAUUUGUAAUUAUUGUAAGCUAUUGAAAUUAACACAAGGGCUGCGAAUCACUGACAAUGUUUUCUAUUUUGUGAGAUACGAAGAGCAUGUCAUUUAUUCUGUAAAAAAGCAUUUGAUUGAAACUAUAAUGUGAAAAAGAUCAAUUUGGUUCGACAAAAGGCUUUGAGGAAUAGCUUAUCAAAAUGUUUGUUUUGAUUCAAAGACGAUUUUGACUGAUAUCUGAGGUUGACUGCUAUUAAGGUGCUUAACUUACUAUAAAACUGAAACAGUGCUGGAAGAAAAUGGUUGACAUAGACAACAAGUUAUAACUACUUUUGAAGUUUCAAGGAUAUGUGAAUUCGUUUUCAAGAGUUUUAUUAUGAACAAUUGCCUCUUACUUUACUAAAAAUCUUCCUUGUAACAGAUUAGAUUACUUACCUUAUAAAAUGAUUAACAUGAUACUGUUAGUAAUAGAAAGAGCAUCGAAACACGAGGAUAUCUGAUUUGUACGAGGGGGCGUAGCCCCCGAGUAUUAAUCAGAUUGCCGAGUGUUUUGAUGUUUUUUCUCUUUUGUAUCAUAGUCAAACAUAAAAACACGUUCCCUGUUGUCACAAUAUGAAACCCGGGAAAAAAUAACCAAUGAACGAGCAUCUGAAUAUGAUAUUUCUGUCUCUUUCCUUUUCUCUUCCGUCACAAUAAGUAAACCACAGCAAAAAUGAGCCAAUCAAUGGGCAUGCUCUGGAGUGCGGGUAACUAAUACCUGCACUCAAGUUAACGCGAUGUGCAUGUAUAUGUAUACAAUUUAACUCUGAAACAUUUUCAACAGAAAGGUCCCCAACCUAUGAUACAAUUUCAAAUUAAAUCAUAAGAGUCGGUAGGUCAUCCCAUAUAAACAUGAUCAAAAUGAUGACGAAAAUUUCUUUAUUUGAUAGACUUAUAUGGAACGCAGUGACUGUCUUAUGUGAUCAAUGUUUUUGCUAUCUUGUGAAAUGAUGAUACUAUUUUGUCGUUUAAGCAUGUUAACAUGUGCAAUUUACAUUUUAUCUUGUCAAAAUACCAUGCUGACUUGUUCAAACAGCAUGUUAACUUGUCAAAUAAUCAUGAUGGCAUGUGCAGACAACAUGUUAACUUGUCGAAGUAUCAUGAUGACUUGUGCAAACGACAUGUUAACUUGUCAAAAUUUCAUGAUGACAUGUGCAAACAGUAUGUUAACUUGUCGAAUUAACAUAUUGACAUGCUCAUGAUACUUUGAGAAGUUAACAUGUGUUUUGCACAAGUCAUCACGAUACUUUGACAAGACAUGAUGUGAAUUGCACAUGUUAACAUGCUCUAACGACAAAAUAAUAUCAUCGUUUCACAAGAGAGCAAAAACAUUGCUUACCUAAGACAUCGUCAUCGCUUCAUAAACACAAACGAUUUAGGGGUUUUCAAACAUUUCAACUAUCUGUUUAACUUAACUUACGCUUAUGGAUAUUCAAUACCCACGCACAACCUAUUACAUUUUCCGAAAAUGUGUUCUCUGCUUACCACAAUUAAAUAUAACAAACGGGUUUAUUUGUAAGCUCCGGGUAGUUUUCAGAAAAUAACUUACUGACAUUUGAGUGGAAAUUUUAUCGGAAAUUUCGUAAAAUACAAGCUAUAUAAAGGUUGUUUUUCUAAGGCGCAUUUUAAACGAGACUUUUGUGCGUUAGAAGACGAAUCAAAGACGAAAGUUAAAUCUAUCGGAAAAGUUAAAACUUAAAAAAAGAUGUCAAGUCAGCAAACAGGUGGUAGUAACACAGGUGCUGCAACAAAAGCAGACCUGGAUAAUCACGGCAAUCAGUGUAACCCAAACAACCCGAACUUCCAGGGACAUACUCCUGGAUUUAGCGGUACAGGGACAAAAUCGGAUCUCGACAACCAUUCCAAUCAGUUGAACCCGAAUAACCCACGGUUUGAGGCUCCGAAAAAAUGAUGAUUGUUACACAAAAUGAAUGCCAAAGAAAUGUAACAGUCUUACAAAUAAAUAGUUGAAAAAUA